GCCCCCGCAAGCUUGCAAUAAUUAGUUAGUUAUGCAUGCAGUAUUAAAAUUCUUCAGAAACUGAGAUAGUGUUCUAUUUGGGUCCGCAACUUGCGAGACGCCCAAAACAGGACUCAAAAACAUACGAGUAUGAAUAUAAUGAAUACAUUGAAGGUAACAUUUUAACACUUAAGUUCCUAUUCAGGUAAAAUUCUGUCACAUCUCACACCCCAACUACAGCUGCCGUUGGCAAGAUUCCUGAAUGUAUAUCAGUUAAAUAUUUCUCAACGAAAAUCUGCACGAAGAAAAUACAGGUGAUUAACGGUGAAGGAAACAAAAAUACGACGGUUUGCGGAACGACCAACCCCUAGAAUUGACCCCCAAUGUACACCAUUUCUACUGUGAUCACAGAAUCUUCGGCCGAUAAUGUAAACCUGGCUGAAGGCAUGGAACCAAUUCACAGCGAUCGAAUUUUAGAUUCUAGGAGAUUCUCGUCUUGCAAGGAAUUCUUAUUUCUGAUAACAGCUUAGUACUUUCGACAUGUGGUACUAUCAGGCUUUUAGCCAGAAGGGCGUCCAGGCAUCCUGGGACGCCCCUAGAACAAAAGAUGAACGCCUUCGGACGUCCAAAUUCUGGGGGAAAAGGGAAAUUAUUUUCAAUUAUUUCCCUAAGUAUAUUAAUAUAUCUGAAACGAAAUAGCUUCAAUUCUCAUUAUUAUUAUACAUUUGACAUUUUGAUCAAUUUGAUGGUGUACCUGGCUGAAUGAAAAUGUCGUAGUUAAGUAAAGAAGCAUAGCGGCACAAACUCACAAGGCCAAAUGUGUUUGAAAAAUUUCGAACGAGCUUGGAACAGAUACUGACAUGAAGUAACGUAAACUUGAAAGGUUUUCCAGAGGAACGUUUUCU